CCCACCCUGUCAUCCCGUUCUUCCAGGCGUGUUCGUCAGGGACACUGUAGCCGAUCCAAAUUGGAUCGAUUCGAUCGAUCUCUUGCCUCUACAGCAUCAAAACUACUCCAUAAAUACUCAUAUCUCCGUCUCGUCCUAUUUUUCGGCAAAAUAGCCGUCUCCCGUACCCUAGAACGGCGCCCCGAUCUCGCCGGAGUUCUUCGCCCGAAGCUCCUGUCGCUGUCGAUUCUGUCGCGUCUGGACGCAUCCAAACCGAGCACAUCGAGCUUGACCCGAAUCUCCACUCCGACGUCUCCGCUCCAGCCGGUCCUCGUGGACGCUAGCAGAAGCUCCGGUCGCCCAGUGGACAUCUUCGAGUUCGACGUGUCCCUCCACGCCUCGUCCUGCUCUCCCCGAGCUCGGGAGGCCUCUCCAGCGACGCCAGCUUCAAAUCCGAGCCGCGCCGCCGCCGUCUCGUUCAAUUCCGGCCGGCCUACUCUGUUCCUCUCCGAUUGUCCGGAGUGUGAAGCAGAUCGGAAUUAAUCGUUAGAGUACUUCAGCACCGUUCAAGGCAAGUUUGCACUUUUGAUUUUGCUCAUCCUAUACUAUGCAUGUGUGGUUUUAUGCUAUGAUAUAUGUUUGGCCUGGUAUGUGUAUCCCGUGUUACCAUGUUUUGUUGUCGAUUGUGGUAUGUGAUGGUGUGAUCAACUUGCUAUGGUAGACGUGGGCAUGUGCCGAGUGAUCCAUGAAAGUGGUGAGUGUUUAUAGCCGUAAGUUCGGGAUUAUUAACCAGGUGAAUGCGUUGUUGGCAGAGCGCUCUAUUGUCCCUAGAGAAUGCGCCAUUGACAGAGCGCACUUGAGGCGAGGUAUAGUUUUUGGGAGAUAAAUCAGGUGAAUGCGUCCUUGGUAGAGCGCUCUAUUGUUCCUAGAGAAUGCGCCACUGACAGAGCGCACUUGAGACAUACUUCUGAAGUUUUUGUCAUGUUUAUUUAGAAUCUUUGGGUUAUCUUGGGCGAGUAAAUUAGAGUCAGUUGUGAGUUCAGGUAGUGGAGGUAGGUGAAGACAUUGUUCUCCAAACUAACUUGUGUGUCUUGUUUGUCAUACAUUGCUUUGUGGAUGUAGGUUUGCUAUAUCAUAUUGUGUGAUUUUCCAAUACAUUCAAUGUAUUGACCCUUUGUGGCUGCAACUUAUCAUGUUGCAGGAUUUUUAGAUGAUCAGUGAGAUACAGUAGGGUCGCGAGUCUUCACUCAACAUGUUCUCCGGUGGGCAUUGAUGGACUCAUUGUUGAUUAUGCUACCUUUUCGUUGUUAUUAUUGAAUAAGUUAGCUAUGUGCUACUCAGAUUGUAAUAUUUUAUAAA